AAGACAAUUUCGUUUAGAGGCGAAUGAUGUCUUGAAGUGUGAUUUUGCCAGCAAACAGCAGGAGAGAUUUAUAUCGAGAUUCAUUCAACAUCCGCGAUUUGUUCCAUCGAGGAUUUUCGUGUGGCUUAAAUUCGAAUUCGAAAAACAUUAGCACUAGUGAGAUGCUGUGUGGUCUAGAUAAUAGAAUCGUGUGGCUUUGAAUAGUGGAUCCGUCCGUGAUUGAUCUGGUUGAGACAUUUUUUGGAAUCCGUCGUAUAAAGGAAGGCAGAAAAAGAGAGCGGCUAUCGAGUACAAAAAUAAUAUACCAAGUCAAAUAGCUGUGAACAAACAUCAGUAAAAAGCACAGUACUCUCUUGGAUUGGAAUAUAUGUGGAGCAGUGUUGCCGUCAACAACAAAACUUGCUGAAUAAAAUACCAUCGCGCAGUGUUGUAGUUGGAGUUCGGUUCUAUUCGUCUUAUGCUCAGUGAUAGCGCUGAAGCGUGUUGAUUAGUAGUGAUAGAGAUCAAAACAAACCACAUUGUUAGUAUAAAAAGUUGGCUGAAAGUAGUGCGUAAUAGAAUAUAAAGUAAGAUAUAGAAAAGGAGGAAAUUCAAAGUGUGCGGAGAGUGUUGGUGUUCAUAUUCUGAAAUCUGUUAUUAACGGUGCAUCGUAAUGUAUUGUUCGAUGGAUAAAAGCCAAUCGGCGGGAGUUGUGGGUGGUGGAAGCAGUGGCAGUCGUGAUGGAAUCAGCACCAGCUGCGGCGGAAGUGGAAGUGGAGGAGGUGGUGGUGGUAGUGUAGGAAGUGGCAAUGGAAACACCACACCCUCCCAGCAUCAGCAGCAGCAACAACAGCAGAGCAAAACGAAAACUUCUAA